GUGUGUGUGUGGAGUGGGGAAAUCUGAUUAACACGGCCCUCUUGUGGAGAUCAAGGGUUAACUUUAUUUAUUUUUUUUAAAGAUUUAUUCAUUUAUUUUUUUUUUUCUUUUUUUCGGAGCUGGGGACCGAACCCAGGGCCUUGCGGAUUUAUUCAUUUAUUAUAUAUAAGUACACUGUAGUUGUCUUCAGACACACCAGAAGAGGGCAUCAGAUCUCUUUACAGAUGGUUGUGAGCCACCAUGUGGUUGCUGGGAAUUGAACUCAGGACCUCUGGAAGAGUAGUCGGGUGCUCUUAACCACUGAGCCAUCUCUCCAGCCCGAAGGAUUAACUUUAUGACUAACAUUCCCAUGGGACAUGGACAUGGGGCAAAGGACAUGGGAAGGAGCCCUCAUCAGUCUUGCCAGCAUGCAGCUCUGCCCACAAGUCAUCUCAGUGGCCUGUACAGAUCACCCUGCCGAACACCAUGUCCAUGAGAGACUCUGACGGCACUGUGUACAGGACAAAGCAGAUGCACUUUCACUGGGGCGGUCGGGACUCAGAAAUCAGUGGCUCUGAGCACACCAUCGAUGGGAUGAGGCACGCCAUAGAGAUUCACCUUGUUCACUUCAACGAGAAGUACGAGACCUACGAGAAAGCCGUGGACCAACCAGACGGCUUGGCGGUGAUGGCGGUCUUGGUUAAGGUUGAGGAUUACACAGAAAACGAUUACUACAGCACCUUCAUUUCUGAGCUGGAA
rnacentral:lncRNA from 1 species